ensembl:lncRNA
UUUACAUAUGUGUGCCAAUUUUCGUGCAUGUACGUGAAACACAGCUCGAGGGCUGUUGAUUUUUUUGGGAUAGGUGGCGCUGUCGAGCCAUUUUGCCACACCCUCUUCUGAAACCUAUAUCAGACGUAAAUUUUCACCAGGUCUGACGCGUGUGCAAAGUUUCAGGACUUUUCGAGCAUGUUUAGGCCCUCAAAAAUGCGAUUCAUUUUGGAGAAGAAGAAGAAGAAGAAGAAGAAGAAGAAGAAUAAUAAACGAAGCAGAUACAAGAGGGUCCUCACACCAUCGGUGCUCGGGCCCUAAUAAUAAACAAAGCAGAUACAAUAGGGUCCUCACACCAUCGGUGCUCGGGCCCUAAUAAU